AAGCCGAAGCCGUCAAUAGCAUGACGCCAUUUUAAAGUUGCGCUGCAUCACGCACGAGUAUACAUUGUCGUUGAGUGGUUCUGAAAUCGCUGCGCUAGGGACGACUGCAACCAAGCGUUGCGACAAGUUACGGUGGGAGCUUCUGUCCGUGCUGUGUGAUUGCGACGAGGGGACCGCCGCCAGCAGCAGCGUUUCGCCGAUUUCGUCUUUGCCGACAUCGAGCAAGUGCGCUCGCCGGAAGCGUCCGAAGUGCUGCGGUUUGCACUGCAUCUUUCAUUGUGAUAUGGGAGAUCGCAACGGACAGAGACGACCAGAUGCAUACGAACCACUACCAGCGGGGACCUGUGACCUGUGCCAUAUUUCUCUUAACGUCUCAGGUAUUCAAGAAAUGCCAACAUCCAGAAGAAGACGCCAUCUUAUCCAGCACGUUAUUGGUACACUCUGGUGGCUCCCGCCCCUGCAUCCUACCACCACUGUGUCCUGACUACGUCCACUAGGGAGUUUGAAGCCUUUGGCGGCUCCUGCCGCUGCGUCCUGCCACCACCAUGUCCUGACUACGUCCACUAGGGAGUUGGCAGCCUUCGUGAUGAUGCCAAGCAGGCUGGAAGCCAACAGAAAGAUUAAUGUUGCCUCGAAAUUUUACCAAAGCCGUACCACACACGGGCCAGGCCUCUUGCAAACGGUGUAUAACCAGGCUCAACACAUGAGUGUCGAGUGAGUCCGGAGAUCAAGGCAACCUGCUGUGCGACCAGCGUGCAACCUUUGGUGACCUCUCUACAUGUUCCGCCUAUUUCACAGCUGCACCUCAGCUGCAACUUAUCCAAACAGCAUCACCAACUGUGGUCACUCAUCAAACCAUGGAUGAAUGUUAGGGUGGAGUGAUUUGAAGAGACAUUCUAUUUGUCUCUUCAAAUUCUUAGCAAAUACUUGUGUUAUUAUAAUUAAUAUGUGUCUUUAGUGCCUAGUUUUUAAUGGUUCCUUUCUAUUAGAAUUCUCACCAUCGAUUCCUGCUAUUACUAUAAUGUAUGUCUUUAUGCCCAGUUUUUCGUAGUUCUUUUGUACUUGUGUAUGUAAUUGAUAGAUUCAUACUUGUUAUACAGAAGGCUAAAAUGCAAACUUACAGCAUUUUUUUCUUUCUUUUGAUUAUCUACAGCACUGCAAAGUGUUCAAGAAAUGUAACCUAACGUGAGCUCUUGUGCAGGAAAAAUUUAAGAGCAAUAUAGAGUACUUAUUUCAAACACCCAUUAUUCUUGGAAAAGUCAAGAAUAUAGGAGCACAAAAAAGAAAAUAUUAAACUAGAGAAACAUAAGUUCCCCUCAUAAGUCUGAUAAUAAUGUGACUUCCUUUCACUGCAAAGAUACCAGUAAUAUACUCGCACACAAGGUUUCAAACAAGAAAGCUAUGAUGCCCUUUGCAUUUCUCGGUGCCCAUUUGUCACACUGACGAAUGUCAAAGGCAUCGUAGGUUAUAUGCACACAUUGGUUGUGUUACACUUUUGAGUAUUUCAUUUCUCAAACACAAAGGUUUACAGCAGUGCUUUAAAUAGCAAGUGCAUUUCCUAAUUUAUUAGUGCAAGAGUAACAGUACAGAUCAUGUAAAAAUUAUUUUACAGUCCAUGGAUGCACGCUUCUGAUGACAUAGCAGUGACGUGGUCGUGGGAUGAAUGUCUUUAUUUCAGAUUUAAAUAUUGGCUUCCAGGUCUGGGUUAGUCUCCUACUCUGAGUAGUCUAGGUCAAAGUCCAUUUACUAGAGAAAGUGAAUUAAACUAGAAAUUAUAAACAUCAAAAGAUCUUGUUUAGGACACUAAUGAGACAAUCAGCAAGGUUCUUUGGUUAUUCAUUUCCAAAUUUGUGAGGAUAUAUGUUAUGACUGGUUUCAAUAUUGUGAGUACAAAUAUUUGUUUAUUGUCACACUAGAGUGGGCUGCCCCAUUUGUAUACAACCCCUUUACAGGCUAAAAAUUCCGUGUGUUACCCUAUUUACUCGCAUAAUGAUCACACUUUUUUGCAAAAAAAAUUGACUCAAAUUCAGGGGUGCGGUCAUUACACUGGUUAAUUUUCCCGCAAAAAGAAAAAAAUAUAUUAUCUGGCAUUUACUACGGGAUGACAACAGGUCAACAAAUAGGCGGCUGCUGCUGUAUGUAGUGCAGGACACGAAAAAAAAUGGUGGCCGGCAGAGCAAGCCGAACGCGCCGAAUGCAUUUUUCUUCUCGUGAGUACAUUACAGUGCAUUCAAACAGUUUCUUCCAUAUUAGUAAUGAAUAAUAUUUGCAAGUUUGCGGCAAUAACAUAGCCAUGCCCACUUUGAGGGGACAGAAACAGAUGGGCGCACUUAGCUGCCAGUGACAUAGGAACACAUGCUGCGGAAACUGCGGCAUUUGUCUUCACCACUAUCCUAACGUGGCACGUUUCCGCUAAGGGUGGGUGAAUAUCUUAGCUGCGUUACAAACGUCGGCGAAUGAAUAGGGUACACUUCUAACCUAUCAGUGUAAACGUGGCUGCUAUCAUUGCCGCUCGCGAUUUGUUGCGUGCCCACAAGUGCAGAUGAGAAGAAUCGAAAGACGCCUUUUUUGUUGUUUUUGUUGACCACAACCAUUAUAAAGCCUACACAUAAUAAAGGAAAGUUUGGUUGUAGCUUUUUUUUUGUCGUAGAAGUGCAGAAAGUGAUGAAAGGAAUGAAAUGGGGCAUCUGCUUAAGAAAGUUUUUUGCAUGCAGUCUGCUUGGUUUGUCUUGAAGAGUCGUUCGCAUAGCAGUCGACAGAUGGUAAGCGCGAUCAUUAUUAGCUAGAUUUGGCACGUGACACAUCGCUGCGGCAAGUUCGGGGUGAAAUCAUUACGUGGGAAAUAAAAAAAAUCGAAUUAAAACGACAAAAUUUAGGGGUGCGAUCAUUACGCGAGUGCAAUCAUUAUGCGAGUAAAUACGGUAAUAGGCUGUUUUUGGUUUUGUGCACUCUAUGUUAAGGGAUGCAAAUGGUGACAUACAACAGAAUGCAAAAAUGACUAAUGAAUUCAAGCAGGGCAUGGGGCUUUUUAGGCAGAUGCGUGCGUGUGCUAUUUAUAAAGCUCCCCAUGGUAUGCCUGAAGGCAUUUUCUAACACUUUGGUAGAAUACACUGACACCCACUUAUUAACUCCUCGAAACAACUUUUUUAUAUAUUUGUACUAGAGAUUUGAAUAUACUGUCAUUCAUAAAGUGUUUUAUUAGAUUUGAAUUGUCAUUUAUUUUUGUGUAGCUGCUGUUUUUUAGUUAUGUCCUACACAGUGGCAAAAUAUUUUGGGGGGCACUUUCCUGUGUAUAAAGUUUUCAGAAAUAGCUUCAUGCUGUAUCUUAUUUAGCUAUUCGUAUACUGCAAAGUGGUGAUACCUAUCCAAACGGCUUGUACAAUUACUGGAACUAUGCAAGAAUAUAUUAGGCCACAUUAAAUAAUUUUACAGAUUGCAAUUUCAAUUAGAUAUGAGCAUUCUGCAUAUCUUGAAGAGUACGUAUGCCAAAUUUCGUUAGUAUAGGACAACUAUAAGUGCAUAAGAAGUAUGCAAGAUUAGUAGGCAGGCCUCUCUGCC